rnacentral:rRNA from 1 species
UACGUAGGGCGCAAGCGUUGUCCGGAAUUACUGGGCGUAAAGAGCUCGUAGGUGGUUUGUCGCGUUGUUCGUGAAAACUCACAGCUCAACUGUGGGCGUGCGGGCGAUACGGGCAGACUAGAGUACUGCAGGGGAGACUGGAAUUCCUGGUGUAGCGGUGGAAUGCGCAGAUAUCAGGAGGAACACCGAUGGCGAAGGCAGGUCUCUGGGCCGUAACUGACGCUGAGGAGCGAAAGCAUGGGGAGCGAACAGG